GGAGGGAUGGCAGAGCGGACGAAUGCGGCGGCCUUGAAAGCCGUAGGGCCUUUAGGGGUCCCGGGGGUUCGAAUCCCCCUCCCUCCG
rnacentral:tRNA from 1 species